rnacentral:rRNA from 1 species
AUACGUAGGUGGCAAGCGUUGUCCGGAAUUAUUGGGCGUAAAGCGCAUGUAGGCGGUGCCUUAAGUCUGUCGUGAAACUGCGGGGCUCAGCCCCGUAUGGCGAUGGAAACUGGGUUACUUGAGUGCAGGAGAGGAAAGGGGAACUCCCAGUGUAGCGGUGAAAUGCGUAGAUAUUGGGAAGAACACCGGUGGCGAAGGCGCCUUUCUGGACUGUGUCUGACGCUGAGAUGCGAAAGCCAGGGUAGCGAACGGGAUUAGAUACCCCGGUAGUCCUGGCCGUAAACGAUGGGUACUAGGUGUGGGAGGUAUCGACCCCUUCCGUGCCGGAGUUAACGCAAUAAGUACCCCGCCUGGGGAGUACGGCCGCAAGGCUUAAACUCAAAUGAAUCGACGGGG